UACAGAGGAUGCAAGCGUUAUCCGGAAUGAUUGGGCGUAAAGCGUCUGUAGGUGGCUUUUUAAGUCUGCCGUCAAAUCCCAGGGCUUAACCCUGGACAGGCGGUGGAAACUACCAAGCUGGAGUACGGUAGGGGCAGAGGGAAUUUCCGGUGGAGCGGUGAAAUGCGGUAGAGAUCGGAAAGAACACCCGUGGCGAAGGCGGUUCUCUGGGACGGUACUGACGCUGAGACGCGAAAGCGUGGGGAGCGAACAGG
rnacentral:rRNA from 1 species